GACGAACGCUGGCGGCGUGCUUAACACAUGCAAGUCGAACGAAGUGGCGAACGGGUGAGUAACGCGUAAUCAACCUGCCCUUCAGAGGGGGACAACAGUUGGAAACGACUGCUAAUACCGCAUACUGAAGGAGGGGAUGGCGUCUGAUUAGCUAGUUGGGGGGGUAACGGCCCCCCAAGGCGAGUGUCAGUAGCCGGUCCGGGGGGGUGGACGGCCAAAUUGGGACUGGGAAACGGCCCAGAAUCCUACGGGGGGCAGCAGUGGGGAAUCUUCCGCAAAGGACGAAAGUCUGACGGAGCAACGCCGCGGGAGGUAUGAAGGCCUUCGGGUUGUAAAGCUCUGUUAAUCGGGACGCGGUACCGGAAUAGAAAGCCACGGCUAACUACGUGCCAGCAGCCGCGGUAAUAC
rnacentral:rRNA from 1 species